rnacentral:tRNA from 1 species
GGGGUUGUGGCUCAGUGGUAGAGUGCUUGCCUAGCAUGUGUGAGACCCUGGGUUCGAUCCUCAGCACCA